rnacentral:lncRNA from 1 species
CUAAGUGUGCAUGCAACCCUAAUAAACCUUGGAUCUAUGUUUGUCUAAAUACAUGCAAAAUAAUAAUUUUCCAAGGUUCAUAACCUAUCUAACAUGGCAUGGGGUACUUUUAAACAUAAACGAAUUAGAUGAGAUUACAUACCUUUUGAUGAUGAGUUCAAUUCCUAAGGAGUUUGAGGGCCAAGCACCAAUAGUGUGAAUGCCUCAAAUGGAAUCACAAAUCACCACAACUCUUGGAAAACUUUGAGAGAGUACACACACUUGUAAUUUUUCGGCCACACACAAAAACCACACAACUAGUGCCACUACUGGCUAUUUCAUGCAACAUAAGCAUGCUUAUAUAGUGUACAUGAUUAGGGUGAAACCCUAAUAACCCAUGUCUUUUCCUUUCCAAGGAUCCAUGGGUUAAAAGCUCCAUGGAUCAUCCAUGGACUUCCAUACAAGCCUAGCCCAUUAACAAAUGAGUGUUAGCCCACACUAUAUAAAACCAAUAGCCCACAAUCUAAUUAGUCUUCCUUUUAAUAUCUAAAUUAAUUCAUAAUUAAUUUAAGACUAAGACUAAUUAAAUAACAUAACUUCAUAUUAAUAUAUUAUAACUUAUAAUAUAUUAAUAAACAUAUGUGUAUAACUCUCAUAAAAUUAUCCAUAAUAGUUUGGAUGAGAUGCAACCCAAAUGGACCAUGCCGGUCGGGUCAAGUAUAUACCAAAUAAGUUAUGGACUUAGACACCUUAUCCAACAGACUCCCACUUGGAUAAGUCUAAUAACUAUAUUUGCCUAUAACUUCAGGAACCAACCAACAAUCGUAGCUCUCGAAAACUCCCUCGAACAAUGAAGACUCUGUCGAACUAUGAAGCGCCAUUUUAGAUAAGUGAUCACAUAAUCCUCUGUUCUCAUGAUAUCAGCCGGACAAACACAUGGAACUAUGUCUUGCUUAUUGUCUAGCAGUUGUUUCUCGAUUAUCCGAUUUGUUUGACGAAGAACUUCACUGAACACAUCGGUUUAGUUCUGACCAGGCCUGGUAUAUGGGUCAACACAAAAUCAUCGAGGGGCCCGGAUAUCGCUUCUAUUUCUAGAAGGAACAGAUAAACUUCGACUGAUAUGCUUGUUCUACUACUUAUUGAAUUGUACACAAAGGCACGUUUUAUAACAUCAAGUUACUGAUGCGUUUACGUGCAAUCAAUGCACAACCAACUCAUAGGUAACAACUCAUAUCUCUAGGUUUAAAGAUUUAUAUGAUGUUAUCGUCUCACGAUCACUCGAGAUAAAUUCCAUGAAGUGAUACAAGUGAGCGUGGGUUUAUACCAAUACUCAUAACUUAUGAGUACUCAUGAAUGUUGCAGCAACCAUUGCCAUGCCUAAACACCUUUAAGGCAUCUACAAACCCAAUUCAUGACAAUCUUGAUUCAUACCUACUUCCGACGUAUGAUCGAUUGUGGAGGUUUGAACAAAUUAAUUAUUCUGGAAGUCAAAACAUGCAAAACUGAAACAAUAGUAAAUAAUUGACAAUGAUAGUAACACUUUACUCAUAAAUAAAUCACAAAUUUUAUUCAUCAUCAAACGUCGAUUACAUUUUACAAGUUUCAGGAAAACUAUCUAAUCUGUAAAACUAAUAUCGUCCCUCAGCCCGAUGCGUCUCGCAUGCUGAAAAUGCUUAACCCUCGUCAGUCCCUUCGUAAGGGGAUCUGCAGGAUUCUCAUCUGACGAUAUCCUCCUUGUCACAAGGAGUCCUUCUUCAAUCUUGUGCCUUAUGAAGUGAUAUUUUCUGUCAAUGUGUCGGGAUCUGCCAUGAUCUCUUGGUUCCUUGGCUAAGAUAACCGCAGCAUUGUUGUCACAGAAAAUCUCUAUAGGUUCCUUAAUAGCUGGUACAACUCCAAGGUCUCCGAUGAAGUUCUUUAGCCAUAUCGCCUCCUUCGCUGCUUCACUCGCUGCUAUAUACUCUGAUUCACAAGUCGAAUCAGCCACCGUCUCCUGCUUGGAACUCUUCCAAGAAAUUGCCCCUCCAUUUAAGGUAAAGAUCCAGCCCGACUGAGAGCGGAAAUUAUCCCUAUCAGUCUGAAAACCAGCAUCACUAUACCCUAAUAUUCUCAAGUCAUCACUGCCACCAAGGGUAAGGACCCAAUCCUUAGUCCUCCGCAGGUACUUGAGAAUGUUCUUUACCGCGGUCCAAUGAGCCUUGCCAGGGUUCCCCUGAUACCUGCUGACCAUGCUCAAAGCAAAUGCCACAUCAGGACGGGUACAAGUCAUAGCAUACAUGAUCGAGCCAACUGCGGAAGCAUAUGGUAAUUGGCUCAUCUCAGCUAUCUCAGCCUCUGUACUCGGACUCUGAGUCUUACUCAGUUUGGUAUUGCUUUGGAUCGGUAAAUCUCCUUUCUUGGAAUUCUCCAUGUUGAACCUUUUCAACACCUUAUCCAAGUAGAUACUCUGACUAAGUCCAAUUAGUCUUCUACUCCUUUCUCUUAAUAUCCUUAUCCCUAGGAUAUAGGUAGCCUCCCCUAGGUCCUUCAUAGCAAAGCACUUCCCAAGCCAGGACUUAACCUCCUGCAAGGUUGGGAUGUCAUUUCCUAUGAGUAGUAUGUCAUCCACAUACAGUACCAAGAAGCUAACUAUACUCCCACUAGCUCUGACAUACACGCAAGACUCAUCUUCGCUUCUCAAGAAGCCAAACUCUUUUACCUUCUCAUCAAAACAAAGAUUCCAGCUACGAGAUGCUUGUUUUAAUCCAUAAAUGGAUUUCUUAAGCUUGCAUACUCUAUUAGGGUACUCUGCAUUGACAAAACCCUCUGGCUGAUUCAUGUACACAUCCUCAGCCAACUUUCCAUUAAGGAAAGCGGUUUUGACAUCCAUUUGCCAUAUUUCAUAAUCAUGAAAUGCUGCAAUGGCUAACAUAACCCUAAUAGACUUAAUCUUGGCCACCGGCGAGAAGGUUUCAUCAUAAUCAAUACCUUGAGUUUGAGUAAAACCCUUCGCAACCAGUCGAGCCUUAUAAGUAUGCACUUUUCCUUCCAUGUCGGUCUUCUUUUUGAAGAUCCAUUUGCACCCGACUGUUUUACGGCCUGGUACAUUGUCAACCAAGUUCCAAACUUGAUUGUCAUACAUGGACUGUAUCUCGCUGUCCAUAGCCUCCUUCCAUUUAGCAGACUCCGGGCCUGCCAUGGCUUCCUUAACACUGCUAGGUUCAUCCAAAUUUACUAGUGUACUAUCACUAAUAAACGUAUCACCUUCCGUAGUAAUAUGAAAACCAUAAUAAAACGAAGGUGUGUUCCUAACCCGUGUGGAACGUCUCGGAGGUACAGACUCGUCAGCUGGAUCAACAGGAGUUUCUUCCUCAGGUUGAUUGCUAGUGUCUGAGGUUCCUUCACCAAUUGAUUCUUGAAUUUCUUCAAGAUCAAUCUGCCUCCCACUGUCUCCUUGGCUUAUAAAUUCUUUCUCGCGAAAGAUCCCUCUUCGUGCUACAAAGACCACAUUCUCACUGGGUCUGUAGAAAAGGUAACCGAAGGAUUUCUGUGGGUAGCCGAUGAAAAUACACCUUUCACUUCGGGGUUCAAGCUUAUCAUGAGUUUCACGCCUCACGAAGGCUUCGCAACCCCAAAUUUUGAUGUGGUCCAAAUUGGGAACCUUCCCAGUCCACAUCUCAUGAGGUGUUUUGGUAACCUUCUUUGUAGGGACUAGAUUAAGGAUAUGGGCGGCAGUCUCUAAGGCAUACCCCCAAAAAGAGAUUGGUAACGAAACUCGACUCAUCAUAGAGCGAACCAUGUCCAACAAGGUACGAUUACGCCUCUCAGCUACACCAUUCAGCUGUGGUGUCCUGGGAGGAGUCAAUUGUGAGACAAUCCCACACUCCUUAAGAUAGUCAAGGAACUCGGUACUAAGAUACUCACCACCUCGAUCGGAUCGAAGCAUCUUAAUGUUCCUGCCCAAUUGAUUUUCUACUUCCUGUUUGAAUUCCUUAAACCUUUCAAAGGUUUCGGACUUGUGUUUGAUCAAGUAGACAUACCCAUAUCUACUAUAAUCAUCAAUAAAAGUCACAUAAUACCGAUUAGCGUCCCUUGUGGCGGUUUUGAAUGGCCCACAUACAUCAGUAUGUAUUAGGUCCAACAAACCUUCACCCCUCUCACAAGUUCCAGUGAAGGGUGAUUUUGUCAUUUUUCCAAGUAGACAAGAUUCACAACUAUCAUCUGAUUUGAGGUCAAAUGAUUCCAAGACUCCACUCUUUUGGAGUUGGUCUAUGCGUUUCUUGUUUACAUGUCCAAGACGACAAUGCCACAAUGAUGCUUUAUCUAGGCUAGUAGAAGAAUCAAUAUACAACACAUUAUUUCCUAAGUUGUCUACAAUCGACACAGUUUCAUACACGCCAUCACAAGGUAAUGCUUUAAAAUAAAACACAUUAUUAAAGAAAGCAUUAAUACCACCACAUUCAUUAUCAAACGAAAAGGUAAAACCUUGUUUGUACAAAGCAUGAAAAGAAAUAAUAUUCCUCGCCAUUUCAGACGAGUAUACACAUUUAUUCAAAUCUAAUUUUAACCCAUUAUUAAGCAACAAAGUAUAAACUCCAAUCUUGGAAACAGGUGAAGCCUUCCUAUUCCCCAUGAUUAAGUUUAUCUUCCCGUGCUCCACAUCCUCACUUCUUCUUAGGCCCUGCAAAUCAGAACAUAUGUGAAUACCACAUCCUGUAUCAAGCACCCAAGAGUUAGAAUAUGUUGAGUAAUUAGACAAUAUAGUGUAAAUACCUGCAUAGGUGGGUUUCACUUUCCCAUCCUUUAGAUCCUGCAAGUACUUAGGGCAGUUUCGCUUCCAGUGUGCCUUUUCAUGGCAAUAAAAGCAUUCAGCAUCCUUUGGAAUGGCAGAAGGAGUGACAGAACCGUUCUUAGUCUUGGAUGAGGAGCCUUCAAGAGACUUUCCCUUGGUACCCUUCGAAGGGUGCUUCCUCUUUUUCCCUUUGCCUUGCCCAAUAGCUAAAACAGGGGUAGAAGUUGGAGUAGGAGUAGUAGAGGUAACAACCGCUUUACCCUUAAGACCGGUUUCAGCGGUCUUCAAGAGUCCUUGAAGCUUGCUGAGGGUAACUUCCUCCUUGUUCAUAUGAUAUGUCAUUCGAAAAUGAUCAUAACAAGAAGGCAAGGAGUGCAAAAUGAUGUCAAUUGCUAACUCCUCGGGGAUGUUAACAUUCAGCUUCAGCAAACGGUCCACAUACCUUUGCAUCUUUUGCAUGUGGCCCGUGACGGAUUCACCGUCCUUCAUGCGGGUAGUUAUUAUGGAGGAGAUUAUUUCAUACCGCUCCUGACGAGCACUCUGAUGGUACCUUUCCAUCAAGUCUUGGUGCAUCUCAAAAGGGUAGAAAUCUUCAUAUGACUUUUGGAGCUCGGCUGUCAUCGUGGCCAUCAUGAUACAUGCCACCUUAGUAGCAUCUCUCUCAUGAGUCCUGAAUUCAGCGAUCUCCUCAGGAGUAGCAGUAGACUCAUCAAGUUCUUUUAACUCCUUAUCGAGGACAUAUUCCUUGUCCUCGUAACGAGUAACCAUCCUGAUGUUCCUAAUCCAAUCCAUGAAGUUGGAACCAUCAAAGAUGACCCUCCCACAAAGAUUCAUGAGAGAGAAAGAACCAGUUGGGUUAGAGCCUGAAGCAUUAGUGUUGGAAGACAUCUGAAAGAAGAAAGUAAGUUUAGAUUAGAUAUUUAGGAUCCUUAAUAAGACACCCAAAUGUAAUAUUAAGGCUAGGAUCCAAUCACAAUAUAUUACACUUAGAAGAGGGAUGCCGUAAUCUAAGUAAUAAUAUAUUUGAAAGGUAGGCGAAUGACGAUUCACCAAUUUCCACCAUGAAAACGAAAUGAUUAAUUAGGUUUAAUUGGAUUUGAAAUUCCUAGAUUCUUUUGAGAUUCAUUGAACUUUUCAAUGGCAUGUUUCAAUCUCGAUUGUGCCCUUCAAGUUUUGUGACUGGGAUGCCGAGGAUCACAAAACAAGGUGUGAAUAACCAUGCUAACUCACUUGGUACUCCUAAUAUUAUCACCUAAUCAAUGUGCCGGUUAACCACACACGCUCCAUUGAUCUAUGACAACAUUAAGUUACCCUUCGUGAUCCUUACUAGUCUAAUUAGUGUGCCGGUUAACCACACACGCUCCACUAACGACUUGGUAAGGUACAAAGUGUGAAUUCCAUGGAUUAGCACCAUGUUCACAUUUUCCUAAAAUAACUAAGAUUGGGAAUUAAAAGAGUUUAGUUAUUUUAUAAUAUUCAUUAUACUUUUAAUGAGGAUUUAAAGUCGUUGUUCUACCCGUUCGGCUAACGACCCUCCACCGAUCAAGCAAGCGGUGGGUGAGAGUAUACACCCAUUAAGUCGCCAUUUUAUAGGCAACAACCUUAUACCCACCUUAUAGACCGGCUUCGUGAAUGAGGCCUACUAACGGUAAAACGACUUAUUCUUAUACAUAUAUAUAAUAAUUAACCAUUAAUGUUAUAAAUAGUAUAAGGGUUGAAUUUUAACUAUUAAAACUCUAAGGUUUGGAAUUAAAGUUUAUUAAAGUGUGUGAAACUUUACAAAUUCCAAAACUUGAGGACAAGUUUUGUAACUUUGCAAAACUCUUCAUUUCAUAACUUAUGAAUUAAAGGUUCAUAAAAAUGAAGACUCUUCAUUUUCAUGUAACUUAUGUGUUUUAAGUGUGUGUUAAAUGAAAGUGACCUUUGGUAAUCCAUAACUUGAGGACAAAUUAUGGACUCCAUUAAAACACAUAAAUGAUUAAGAAUUAAUUCUAAACAAUUCAGCAAAUAAUUCCUAUCAUUUUCUAAAUUCAUAAGAACAUGAACAUGAUCAUCAAAAAUUCAAGAAUUAUAUGAACACAUAAAAUCAUGGAUUUUUGAUAUAUGCUAUUGUAAAUGGAUUAGAACAACCAUUACACCAACUAAAAUAAGUUUUACAACACCAAAACAAUUUAGGGUAAUGUUUCCAGUCCAUUUCCAGCAGCAAAAGUCGAGAUUCUGCAUUCUUUCGAUCCUACUCGCCGAGUGCACGAACGGACUCGUCGAGUAGGUUGAAGUUUGCCUUGGACUCGGCGAGUCCCCCCAAUGGACUCGGCGAGUCUAGCAUGCAGACAGCAACGAUUUCGACUUUUUUCACUAUUUUGCAUCAAGUAUCAAACAAGCAAGCCUAGGCUCUGAUACCACUGUUGGGUUUUGAGCAAUCUAACACUUCCUAAGUGUGCAUGCAACCCUAAUAAACCUUGGAUCUAUGUUUGUCUAAAUACAUGCAAAAUAAUAAUUUUCCAAGGUUCAUAACCUAUCUAACAUGGCAUGGGGUACUUUUAAACAUAAAAGAAUUAGAUGAGAUUACAUACCUUUUGAUGAUGAGUUUAAUUCCUAAGGAGUUUGAGGGCCAAGCACCAAUAGUGUGAAUGCCUCAAAUGGAAUCACAAAUCACCACAAACUCUUGGAAAACUUUGAGAGAGUGU